ensembl:lncRNA
CCAUCACCACCUUUCUUUUCUUCCGCAAGAUUUCUGAGGCACAGGCGGACAGGGGGCCAGGAGAGCUGCCCCCUUCUACCUCCCCAGGUGAGGGGAACGGCCAUAAGGGGCGUCUCCGACCCGAAAUUGAUACCUAGGAUUGAACCCCAGAGCGGAAAAGUGCGGCCAGAGCCGUUUACCUCCAAAUAACGUUGGGAAGAGACUUUAUCUUGCUCUGCUGCUGUCCGAUGCUAUGGUGAAGUCCAUAUUGUAAAAGUCAGAGGAAUGUUCUUGAAAAGAAAAGCAAAAACAAAACGCGAGAGGCUUUCUUUUUAAACCGUCUUUAUUCCUGUAGAUGCAUGAGCAAGAUCGGUUUUGUAUUUGCGAAAUGGCAGUCUGAUUCAGCUCUAUAAUAAUCACAUAGCUUGAUUAUUUUCUGGGUGGGGAUGCAUUUGACUCAAGACAAGUUGUGCAGUGUAGACAUUUAUUUAGUAAAUAUUUGGGCGCACGCCGGGUGUCCAGGGCUGUUAGCGUUUGGAAGAGCCCGCAGCGCAUGGAAGCACACACUUGGUCACUGUUGGUUCCGGCCUCAAGUGGGCGUCUUGUUGCAGCACCCGAAGCCUGUCUUACUGCGCAGAUUUCUCAGUCCCGGUGUUAGAACCACCUAGGAAUUUCUUUCUGUGAUUUUUCUGGUGUUCUUAAUCCGGACGAAGAAGGAAAUAGGGAAAACAGUGCCUUCAACUCAAGGUGCAGUGCGCAGUGGCCAAAGUGGCGGGGAAGCAAUUGAAGCUCACGGCAGUUAUCACCGGGCAGGUCAAAUGGAAGGACCAGUUCCAUAAAUAUGUAUGAGAAAAAUGUCAACUCACAAACCUAGCUAAUAAAAAGGGCAAAGUACUGCUGCUAAGUUGCUUCAGUCAUGUCCAACUCUGUGCGACCCCAUAGAUGGCAGCCCACCAGGCUCCCCCGUCCCUGGGAUUCUCCACGCAAGAACACUGGAGUGGGUUGCCAUUUCUUUCUCCAGUCCAUGAAAGUGAAAAGUGAAAGUGAAGUCACUCAGUCGUGUCUGACCCUCAGCGACCCCAUGGACUGCAACCUACCUGGCUCAUUCUGUCCGUGGGAUUUUAUAGGCAAGAGUACUGGAGUGGGGUGCCAUUGCCUUCUCCGAAGGACAAAGUAAGUAUUAUACUAUGUACAGCAGAUAAAUCCAUCCCAUGGAUCUUAUUACAGUGAAAGGUAUAGGUUGUGAAACUAUUUUCAUUUCUAUUUUAAAUUAUCAGGUAUCUAAAUUUUUCAUGAAUUUUUAUCAAAUAUGC